CGCUCCCCGGCGAACCGCUCGGUGUUACGUAACGUGAGCGGUGCACAGUCUGCCGACGAUGCAGUCUUAGUUGUAAGUAAAACAGCAUCAAUAAUACAGACGCCUGUACACUUUAAGUGGCACUUAAAUGUCUUGGAUGAUUACCUACCCUGCAUCUCUCUGCUCCAGUGUACUAAAUAAUGGAAACCCCCAAACGACAGAGUACAGCUGCUGCUUGGCCUCCUACCUGCCUGUUGAGAUGUCUGUGGGCACCAAAAGAAGCUGUUAACGCCUAAAUAGCUGUGUUAAAAGCAGUAUGAGUGAUUUAACAGAGUUCGAAAGAUGCCAAAUAGUUGCUGCACGACUAUCGGGUGCAUCCGUCACAAAAACUGCACAGCUGUUCAACGUGGCGAGGGGAACGGUCUCCAGAGUCAUGACCGUGUACAUCAAGCACGGACAAACGGCGUCCGCUAAGAAGAACAGCGGGCGCAAGUCAAAGCUCACUGAAAAGGAUAGACAGACACUUCUCAGGAUAGUUGAUGAGCACCCAGAGUAUACAGCCUCAAAAAUAACCUCGGAGCUGAACAGACAGCUCUCUCACACCGUGUCAGUAAAAACGAUCCGCCGGGAGCUUCACAAAGCCGGUGUUUUUAGAGGAGCAGCCAGUCGGAAAACGGAGGCUGAGACUCACUCAAGGAAGCCGGAUGGAAAGGAUACUAAACCUGGAACUGAAAAAGAGAUUGGCACUCAAAAAACUUGUGAAGAGAGGACGAGACCUGAAAGGCAAACAAAUGACAAAGAGUGGGGGACACAAAAGUCGGUGGAAGACAUACCUGUGUCUGAACCUCAUGCUAGUGUCAAAGAAUACUACACAGGAGAGAGGAUCCAACCUGAAUCCAACGUUGGUGAGGAAGAGUACAGCACAACAAAGCUGAGUGAAGAGAGCACGGGACCUCGGGCCCGUGUACCAGACCCGUGUGUUGUAUUUCUGCCUUUCUAAGACGGCCUCAUUGGUCAUGUUAAGGGAAAAUCAUCCCUUAUUUUGACCACUGUUACAUGUGACACUGGGUUUGGACUUAUAUUUCAGUUUCUAGAUUUUAGUAUUUAUUUCUGCAUGAAUGCAUAACUGUGCAGAAUUCUAACUUAUCACAUGCUUUUUUUCAUAUUCCUGUGUUACAAGUGAAUGGUACAUUUGAAUUUACAAUGUAGAGGGAAGUAUUCAGUACUAAAAAACACAAGUACAAUACAUGAGACUUUUGGUUCACACCGCUGCUGUAUUCUGUUGCUUUUUACUGCUGUAUAUCGGUAUGAUUGUUGUUACAUUAAAGGUUUUUGGUUGAAUCGUCAGAA